rnacentral:rRNA from 1 species
UGGGGAAUCUUGCGCAAUGGGCGAAAGCCUGACGCAGCGACGCCGCGUGGGGGAUGAAGCUUCUCGGAGUGUAAACCCCUUUCGACCGGGACGAAUACCUCGCAAGAGGGGUGACGGUACCGGUAUAAGAAGCCCCGGCUAACUACGUGCCAGCAGCCGCGGUAAGACGUAGGGGGCCAGCGUUGUUCGGAAUUACUGGGUGUAAAGGGUUCGUAGGCGGUGUGGCAAGUCGGGAGUGAAAUCUCUGGGCUCAACUCAGGGGCUGCUUCCGAAACUGCUGUGCUGGAGUGUGGGAGAGGCGCGUGGAAUUGCAGGUGUAGCGGUGAAAUGCGUAGAUAUCUGCAGGAACACCCGUGGCGAAAGCGGCGCGCUGGACCACUACUGACGCUGAGGAACGAAAGCUAGGGGAGCAAACAGGAUUAGAUACCCUGGUAGUCCUAGCCCUAAACGAUCAGGACUUGGGGUGCCACCCGUUCGGGUGUCGUCCCGGAGCUAACGCGUUAAGUCCUGCACCUGGGGAGUACGGUCGCAAGACUG